rnacentral:lncRNA from 1 species
UGUAAACUCUGAGUACACAUUAGCCAGCCAGGAACACCCUUCAUGCACAUGACUCAUCGCUCAUUGUUUUGUGUCUCUGUGUUUUGAAAGAUCUUUACCAUUUUUUUAAUCAAAAUCCCCUGUCAGUAUUUUUGCUUAAAUUAUAUUCCUUCAUAGAGGAAUUUGAGCCUCCUUCUUGGAAGAAAGAAUUGUCAGCAGCUUUCAAAUGUCAGGGGCAUGCUUCUGGCUGUCGAGAUUUCAAACCGUGUGCAGCAGGUGCAGCUGGAGGAGCCAGAGCACAUCAACUAUCCCUUCACUUCCCAGUCCCCGCAGCUACAGCAUUUUGCAUUAGCAUGGGCACGUCUUAAAACUGAGGAACCAAUGUUGAGAAGAUGAUUGACUGAAAUCUGAGAUUAGCAGGAUUUCAUUCUCUGUGCUGUACAGCUCACUGGGUUUUGACAAAUGAAAUGCAUAUUGUGUGCCUCCACCCUUACAGUGUCACAUAGAAUCAUUUCACCACCCUGAAGUCCUCUGAAUAUCACAUUUUCCCAGCCCAGAAUCCCUGAUAACCAUUCAUCUUGCGGGGAGAGAGGUACUGAGGAUUGAACUCAAGGGCACUCAACCACUGAGCCUCCUUCCCAGCCCUAUUUUGUAUUUUAUUUAGAGACAAGGUCUCAUUGAGUUGCUUAGCGCCUAUGGCUGAGGCUGGCUUUAAACUUGCCAUCCGCCUGCCUCAGCCUCCCGAGCAGCGGGGAUUACAGGCAUGUGACAUCAC